rnacentral:snoRNA from 1 species
UUGCUAUGAUGCAAAUGAAUUUCUUCACCUGAAGAUCACCGUGUCGAUUAAUAAUCGAGCUUUUUAAAACUGAGCAAC